GCUCAUCUUGUCUCUCAUUUCUCAUGACACUGUGAAAACAAGUGAAGAUUCAGAAGAAACUAACUCUUAUUCUCCUGGUUGUUGCACAAAAAUUGAAUCUUUCAAUUGCGUAAAGAUGCCUGCUAGUUUAGAACAGAACGAUUAUGACCAUGCAAGUUGUUGCCUGGAAACCUUCAUCAAUGUUUUGAAAAAUGUUGACCAAAAGGACACUGCAAGGGUAUUUGAAAUCCUGCAAGAAAUACUGGAGGAAACAGAG